CCUGUCACCACACUCAGCUAAUUUUUUGUAUUUUUAGUAGAGACAGGGUUUCAUUGUGUAAUCCCAGCACUCUGGGAGGCCGAGGGGGGCAGAUCACGAGGUCAGGAGAUCGAGACCAUCCUGGCUAACACGAGUAAUUCUUUUUCAAUGAAACUUUGUGUUCAAGGAUAACAAGCACAGAGAAAGAGACAUGAGUCGUGAGCAGCCCAGGAGUGAUCAAAGUGCGCCCGUGGGAAAAGCCACCACCAGGUGAGGGAACAAGACCAAACAGGAUCCCCCAUCACGUCCCUCCCAGCCAUGUUCCCCCCUCUCUCCAAAGCCACCAUUAUCCUAACUGCUGAGCACAAACUUGGAAACAAAUAAACAAACUUGGGCCUUAGGUCUGGGGUGUCAGAGGCUGAGGGGAUCUGGAGCAGGGGAAGGGGAGAAAUGGCAGCCCAGGAACCCCCAGCUCAGUCCCGCUGUAAAAGCCAUGCCCUCGGGGCCCCAUCUGUGAGGAAAUGCUUCUCGCACUGGCUCAUGAACACCCCCAGCUGUGCGUGCCUGGGACAGAGACCCAUGGGAAAUGGCCAUUUCCUAGGACUAGUGAGUAGUAUAUCACACACACGGAAAAAUUAUGGAGUAGAGUAUGAAAGCUGAAUAAAACUUGGAAACAGGAAACUUCGAAGACAUGAAGGAUUAGAGCAGGCACGCUGGGAAUCAGCCCUGAAGAGGCAGGCCUGCGUUAAGGGCUGAAUCGGUAGGAAAACUGGGGCAAUGAGGGACGGGUCAGGCCUAGGAGGAGUACCCAUAUAGCUGUCGUCAGCGGACACUCCUUCUGUGUCCCUCAGACUCAGGGCAGUCCCUCCGCCUGCCCUUCAGCAACUCUCCAGAACAAAAGCCGAGGUCACCUCCCCUGCUCUUGAAAACCCUCAAUGGUCAAGAAGCUUUGUCAAAUCCUCAUGAGCCUUGCACAGUGCCAGGUGCUGUACCUAAUGUCUUGCUCUGUCGUCCAGGCUGGCCUCGACUUCUCAGGCUCAAGCAACCCACCUCAGCCUCAGUAGCUGGGACUACAAGUGCACACCACCGUUUGACUAAUGAAAAAAAAAUUUUCUUGGAGUCUUUCUCAAAGAAGCUAUUCAAAUGAAAGUAUAUUUAUUUUUAUAAAUGUUUCCUCCAGUAAGUUUAUGUUUGACUGUACUUAAGAAACAGGAAAAAAA
rnacentral:lncRNA from 10 species